GACGAACGCUGGCGGCGUGCUUAACACAUGCAAGUCGAACGAAGUGGCGAACGGGUGAGUAACGCGUAAUCAACCUGCCCUUCAGAGGGGGACAACAGGUGGAAACGACUACUAAUACCGCAUACUGAAGGAGGGGAUUGCGUCUGAUUAGCUAGUUGGCGGGGUAACGGCCCACCAAGGCGAUGAUCAGUAGCCGGUCGUAGAGGAGUAAUGGACACAUUGGGAAUGAGACACGGCCCAGGCCCCCAAGGGAGGGAGCAGUGGGGAAUCUUCCGCCAUGGACGAAAGUCUGACGGAGCAACGCCGCGUGAGUGAUGACGGCCUUUGGGUUGUAAAGCUCUGUUGAUCGGGACGCGGUACCGGAAUAGAAAGCCACGGCUAACUACGUGCCAGCAGCCGCGGUAAUUC
rnacentral:rRNA from 1 species